rnacentral:rRNA from 1 species
CGGCAAGCCUGAUCCAGCAACGCCGCGUGGAGGACGAAGGUCUUCGGAUCGUAAACUCCUGUCAGGAGGGACGAAGGUUUCCGGGCGAACAGUCCGGAAGCUUGACGGUACUGCCAGAGGAAGCCCCGGCUAACUCCGUGCCAGCAGCCGCGGUAAUACGGAGGGGGCUAGCGUUAUUCGGAAUUAUUGGGCGUAAAGGGCGCGUAGGCGGCCCGGUAAGUCAAAGGUGAAAUCCCUCGGCUCAACUGAGGAACUGCCUUUGAAACUGUCGGGCUUGAGGCCGGGAGGGGGUAGCGGAAUUCCCAGUGUAGCGGUGAAAUGCGUAGAUAUUGGGAGGAACACCGGUGGCGAAGGCGGCUACCUGGACCGGUUCUGACGCUGAUGCGCGAAAGCGUGGGUAGCAAACAGGAUUAGAUACCCUGGUAGUCCACGCUGUAAACGAUGAGUGCUCGGUGUCGCGGGUAUCGACCCCUGCGGUGCCUUAGCUAACGCGUUAAGCACUCCGCCUGGGGAGUACGGUCGCAAGGCUG